rnacentral:rRNA from 1 species
UACGGGGGGGGCAAGCGUUGUUCGGAAUUACUGGGCGUAAAGGGCUCGUAGGUGGCCAACUAAGUCAGACGUGAAAUCCCUCGGCUUAACCGGGGAACUGCGUCUGAUACUGGAUGGCUUGAGAUUGGGAGAGGGAUGCGGAAUUCCAGGUGUAGCGGUGAAAUGCGUAGAUAUCUGGAGGAACACCGGUGGCGAAGGCGGCAUCCUGGACCAACACUGACGCUGAUGAGCGAAAGCCAGGGGAGCAAACGGG